rnacentral:rRNA from 1 species
CAGUCGUACCGGCGGAUAAUCAGCCUUUCGGGUGCGAUUCUGUGGGGCGUGAGGAGUUUAACCGCCUUCAUGUUUUGCAUAUUCGUGCUCUUGGGUGUACUUGCCCGUGUGGUUGGUUAACAUCAAUUUUGGUGGUCAUAAAAUGACUGGAGAAUGUAGCUUCGAUCUCGUAUUGAAGUGUUAUAGCCUUCGGUAGAUGUGAUGAUCGAGAUUGAGGAUUG